GACUCUGUAGCUCAGUUGGUUAGAUCACUGCAUCGUAAUCGCAGUGCCGCAGCUUCGAUUCCUGCCAGAGGGC